UGGGGAAUUUUGGACAAUGGGGGAAACCCUGAUCCAGCCAUCCCGCGUGUGCGAUGAAGGCCUUCGGUUGUAAAGCACUUUUGGCAGGAAAGAAACGUCGCGGGUUAAUACCCCGCGAAACUGACGGUACCUGCAGAAUAAGCACCGGCUAACUACGUGCCAGCAGCCGCGGUAAUACGUAGGGUGCAAGCGUUAAUCGGAAUUACUGGGCGUAAAGCGUGCGCAGGCGGUUCGGAAAGAAAGAUGUGAAAUCCCAGAGCUUAACUUUGGAACUGCAUUUUUAACUACCGGGCUAGAGUGUGUCAGAGGGAGGUGGAAUUCCGCGUGUAGCAGUGAAAUGCGUAGAUAUGCGGAGGAACACCGAUGGCGAAGGCAGCCUCCUGGGAUAACACUGACGCUCAUGCACGAAAGCGUGGGGAGCAAACAGGAUUAGAUACCCUGGUAGUCCACGCCCUAAACGAUGUCAACUAGCUGUUGGGGCCUUCGGGCCUUGGUAGCGCAGCUAACGCGUGAAGUUGACCGCCUGGGGAGUACGGUCGCAAGAUU
rnacentral:rRNA from 1 species